CAAGUAAAGAGAUUUAUUCAUUGAUAAGAAAAAGAAAAAACGUGAACGGUGAUUGGAUUGAUGAUAAAAUAGAAUCCUUGGUCGCGAACAGUGAUUCGAUUGAUGAUAAAGAAAGAGAAUUCUUGGUUCAGUUCUCCACCUUAACGACAGAAAAAAGGAUUGAUCAAAUUCUAUUGAGUCUGAUCAAUUCUCAUUCCUGUACUUCAAAGCUAGAGCGCUUCUUUCGAUUGAAAGGAUUCCUUUUUUUUGAUUACCAAAGAGGGUAGGGGCCAAUGAUGAGUGGGACUUGGGGACUACGAGAGGGACAGUAGCGAGCGGGCAGCAGGCUAACUACAAUCUUAAUCACGCCUACAACACUUCCUUUUUAGAUCGUGAACUCUGGCGAGGACAAUUUUCCGUGUUAAUUUAAAAUAUAAGGAUAUUUAUAUCGAAUCACUCGUUCGAGAAAAGAGGGUUUUAUCACCUUCGGUGCCUCGACGUACUGAUGCGAACAUAUGGGGUUGAACCAGGCGGUAAAUGGGACAGGGCUUCUUCCGGGCGUAAGAUAAGGUUCUCUGAGACCUCAUUUCCUAGCCGAAUAAACCUCACCGAGCGGAGAAGUCAUGAAGAAGUUAAGCAUUAGGCCAAUAAGCCUAGUCCUGCUUGUACACCUGGUCUUCCAUUUUCGUCCGAUCUCUUUCUUUCUCCAACAACUACUGUACUAUAUUAUACUACAAUUGUUGCCUCGCUUCAUGCGGUUCAACCAGAAUUCACAUCUUUCUUAUCAGACCGCUUAAGAUCCGUUAGGGCGCCACCCCCCGUCACUUGCAGUGGUUAGCUGCACGAUCGGAAUUGAG
rnacentral:misc_RNA from 1 species